rnacentral:lncRNA from 1 species
GGCCCCUCCGGGGCUUGGCACCAGCAGGCACGCAGCGAUCGCCGUCGUUGUUAUUUAGUAGUAGUAGUAACGGCUGACAUUUACAGCGACGUCGAUGGCGCCAGGUGCCAAGCUCUUUCCUUGUAUAAUUUCAUGGACACUCACGCAUCAACUCUAAGCGAAGACUUGGAGCGGGGCUCAGCACCCCAGGGGUACCUCUGCAACCUCGAAAUGAAGUUGAAAAUAGCACAGGAGCCCACUAUCACUGUGUGAACAUUUUGUGAAUGAAGACAUGUAUGAAAGGAUGUUUGGAGGCUUCAAGAAACGAAAGCCGAGAGUCUAGCUAGACCAGAGCCAUCCAGCCCAGGAGCGAUGGCCACGUGUGGCCGCUGGACACGAGAGACGUGGCCAGUCCAAACUGUGCAGUGCGGUUGAAAAAAACAUUUUGGAUAUAUGGUGUUAAAUAAACAUGAUUACAAUGACUUUCGCUGUCAGCCUCCCGGAGGCUCAUUUUGCUCCUCUGGGCCACAGCCAGCUCAGAGGGUUGCUCUAGG